GCGCGAAAACUUUACAAUGCGGGAAACCGCGAUAAGGGGACACCGAGUGCCAGCAUCCUAUGUUGGCUGUCCAUAUGUAUAAAUCACAUGUGUUAGCAAGGGCCGGGCAAGACCGGUGCCAGCCGCCGCGGUAACACCGGCGGCCCGAGUGGUGGCCACUAUUAUUGGGUCUAAAGGGUCCGUAGCCGGUUUGGUCAGUCUUCCGGGAAAUCUGACGGCUUAACCGUUAGGCUUUCGGGGGAUACUACCAGGCUUGGGACCGGGAGAGGUAAGAGGUACUACGGGGGUAGGAGUGAAAUCUUGUAAUCCCCGUGGGACCACCAGUGGCGAAGGCGUCUCACCAGAACGGACCUGACGGCAAGGGACGAAAGCUAGGGGCACGAACCGGAUUAGAUACCCGGGUAGUCCUAGCCGUAAACGAUACUCGCUAGGUGUCGGCCACGGUGCGACCGUUGUCGGUGCCGUAGGGAAGCCGUGAAGCGAGCCACCUGGGAAGUACGGCCGCAAGGCUGAAACUUAAAGGAAUUGGCGGGGGA
rnacentral:rRNA from 1 species